GAUGCUGCCCCAGGGCCCAUGGCCAAGGGCACACUGGGGGGAAGUGACCUCGCUGCCUGUUUGUCCUGGAGCUCCAUCUCCUCUUUCCUCGGCAGCUUUGCUGAAGCCUCAGCCGGGGGGCCUGGAGGACAGGGCGGAUGGCAGGAGGGUGGGACUCUGCCCUCACCUUGUGGGAGCUGAGCCUCGCGCCUCCUGUCAGCUGCCCUUCACCGCUCCCCACUUCAGCCUCCAAGGCAGAGACCACGUGGCCACCUUCCAUGGCACAUAAGGUUCACUGGCUUUAUUUUACCUGGCUGGAGGAAGCUAAGGUGACACAGUUGGCAGCAGGGACAGAGGACAUCAUCUGGAUGCAUGGGCGGUAACAUGGAGCUUCUGCCCUCAAGGUGCGGUGGACCUGGCGCGCACCUCACAAGUGUGGCUCAGGAAGAAGGGCUGUGUGGUCUGAGGUUCAAGCCCCCAGGCAGCUCUAGCCUGGUUUGAUUCCAUCUAGCUCCAUUGCUAAUAGCUGUGUGACCUUGGGCCAGACCCCUUCACCUGUCUCACCUCCAUGUCCCCAUCUGUAAGAGGGGAUAAUUCUAUCGCCCCGAGGGGUGCUGUGAAGAUAAAGUAAGCACUCAGGUUUUUGAUGUCUGGUGUUCCAGGCACUCAGCUGGAAGCUGGACUCCUCUAGAGCUGGAUUCCUGGCGUGGACCUGCUGCCCUGAGGGGGCUUCUAGGGAGCCUCAGUGCCUCUGUUCCCCUGGCGAGAGGGGGCUGCCGUGAGGACUCCUGGAUGGAAGUGCUGGGCCCUUCUCCGGGCUCUGUGCUGGUGGGAUUCAGGAAAUGUCUGUCGCCCCUGCAUCCGGGGCCCAGAGCCUUGGCUGGGGUGGGCCCCAGUGCUCAGUGUUCAGCAUGCAGCCCCGGACGCCUGGCCUUUGGUGACCAGCACGAUGUGUGACCUUGUGCACACUGGGCCCUGGCUGCCUUGGUUUCCCCACCCACUGGGCUGCAGUUGGACUCCUUGCUGAGUCUGCCAGGGUUUUACUGCGACACGGCUUGGCAAGAGCUUGGGCACCGGGCGAGGUUGUUUGUCACGGGUUCUUGAGGAGGCGGAGGGGCAGGUGGCCCCAUGCCAGUGCGGAGCCCACACUCCUCUCGCCAGCUCUGCCGGGCUCAGGCUCAAGUGUGGCUGCUUUAAACGCACCCACCCCAGGGGCCGGUCCCAUGAGCGCUCUCUGCUGUGAUUCAGUGGCGGUUGCUAAGGAAGGCCCAGUACCCGGCCCCUGGGGAGACGCUGCGGCCAGCCUGGCUUCAGCAGACUCGGCAAGGCUUGUACCAGCUCCGAGGAAAAUACCCGUCCGUGCUCAGGGUCCUCAGUCCUAAAAUGAAGACAAGGCCGGCUCCAUGGUUCCUGCUGGUUUUGACACACAGUGGUAUGGGGUGGGGGUGGAGAUUUAGAGAGUAGAGCAAAUGACAAAAAUAAAAAUGAGCUGCACAAAGAGACAACUCUUUGUGUGGAUGUCAACAGCCUCAUGUAAGAUCCUAACUGCAGGAACUCUCUAGAAUGCCUAUUUUGUAUACUGCCACAAGAGCCCUGCAAAGAGUCAACAAUCCCAAGGCAUGAGAACGUGCAGCAGCUUCGUGUUCUGCACACACCAGCCUCCCUGCUUGGGACGCAUCGGUCUGCUGCCCAGCACUCCAGCUCCAUCCAUGCCCCCGACCCCAGCCACAGGACAAAGCCGCACGGACGGCUGUUCCCCUGUCCUCAUUUUCACCUGUAGGUGGCUAGACCUUCUGCAUGAGUUGCCUGCUGGUCAGGUUUGGGGAUUACAAGGUAAAUCAGUAAAAAAAGGAAGCCCAGGGCGAUGGUCUCUGGGUCCCAGCACUGCGUCUGAGUGGAAGCAGGCUUGCCGGAAUCCUGCUGGCCAGCCUGCGAGCGGAGAAUCGGCGGGGCGAGGCAUCUCGAUGCAGCUUUUCCUCCAUGCCAGGCACCCCCCUCAAUUUGUUACAUUUAUCCAUCCAUCUCAUCUUCACAACAGCCCCGUGGGGGUGGCAGGGUCAUCGUCCCCGUUUCCGAGCUGGGGAAGCCGAGGGGGCGGUGCUGUUAGAGGUAUCUAGGAAGUCUCAGGGCCAGGAUUCCAGCCACAGCAAUUUGUCUCCAGAGCCCAGCCCUUAGCCACCUCCCUUCAUUGUCUCCACGGAUUGUUAUGCUCCAGGCUGGCCCAGGUGACACCACGAGUCACCACCUUCCCCACUAUUACCACAGUCAGAAGACUUGUGUCCCUGCCGAGGGCUCGACUGUGACGAGCGCCCGUGGGAACAGGGUGUUUCCUGGGGUCUCCCUGAUAUCACCUGGCUCUGUGAAGUUUCCAGCAGGUGAUUCAUUUGUAUUUGUGCAUUGAUGAAUAAAGGAAAGACACCGGAUGAUUUGUGCUAAGGAACUUCGGCGUGAGAUGCACCCACCGUCUCCCUGAUAC